rnacentral:rRNA from 1 species
AUGGAAACCAUAGGAAUGGCGAUCGAGGAUGCCGCAUCCGGCGGCGUCAAGUUCUUGGCAGAUCCCGUUGACAGGUUUCCGGUGCCGGAUCUCGGCAGCGGCGAGGCUGUGCUUGAUGCUGUAACCACCCAAACACUCGUGUGCGCAGCCGCGCAGUCGAGCGUCGCCGGUGCAGGAGACGCCACGACCACGGUACAGCUAGAUGGGGACGCCAGCUGCGAAGGGGUCAGCUUGUCAGCACCAAGCUCGGAGCAGUCAGCCGGCAAAGACGAAAGCAAGGCCUCUGGCUGGGCAAAAAGAGUACGUAUUGGCCGAGCCCCUCUUGAGCGUCCUCCAUGCGCCGGCAGAAUAAGCGCACUUGGAAAAACAUUGAGAUGCUACGCAGAGAAGAAGAGAGAAACUGUUGUAGUUCCUGUUGUCGGUGACAGCUUCGAUUCACUUGGAGAAGCAUAUGACUACUACAACCUGUAUUCCUGGGAAAUUGGUUUCGGUGUGCGAUAUGGAAAAAGCAGAUUAAAUGUGGAGAGGACAAAAUGUAUGCAAGAAAUAGUCUGUGGAUGCUCGGGAAUACCGAAGAGAAGUAAUACAAGGUCUUGCCGUUGCAGAUGUCCAGCUAUGAUAAGGUUACUACGUUCAAAGGACAAUGGAUGGUAUAUAAGUGAACACAGGGCAUUCCACAAUCACUCUCUAUCGGACAAGUGCGAACAGAAAAUAUAUUGGCCCUCACAUAGACAUAUCGACAUUUAUACAAGAGAUGUUGUCAAGCAGUUGCGUGCGAAUAAUAUUAGCAUAGGCAAAGUGUACAACAUAAUUGGCAGUUUCUUUGGCUCCAUGAGCAGUGUACCUUUCAGCAAAAGAGCACUGAGGGGCCUAUGUGGACAGAUUAGCCGAGACCAGGCAGAUGAUGAUGUCAGAAAAACAAUGGAAGUUUUCGCUGAGCUGGGUUCAAAAGAUUCAGGAUUAUACUAUAGAGUACAGCCAGACGCAGACAACCGUAUACGAAAUCUGUUAUGGUCAACAGGAGCAAGCAGGGCACAGUAUCACUACAUCGGAGAUGCUAUAACUUUUGAUACCACGUACCGAACCAACAUGUAUGAUAUGCCAUUCGGUUUGUUUGUCGGAGUAAACACCAUUUCCAAAGUAUCAUAUUCGGAGGAGUUUUAG